rfam:Triticum aestivum genome assembly, contig: Triticum_aestivum_CS42_TGACv1_scaffold_328427_4BS
CGACUACUCCCUCUGUCCCAAAUUUCUUGUCUUAGAUUUGUCUAGAUACAGAUGUAUCUAUGUAUCUAAUACUAAAAUGUGACUUGAUACAUCCGUAUCUAGACAAAUCUAAGACAAGAAUUUUGGGACGGAGGAAGUACUUU